rnacentral:rRNA from 1 species
UACGUAGGGUGCAAGCGUUAAUCGGAAUUACUGGGCGUAAAGCGUGCGCAGGCGGCUUUGCAAGACAGAUGUGAAAUCCCCGGGCUCAACCUGGGAACUGCAUUUGUGACUGCAUGGCUGGAGUGCGGCAGAGGGGGAUGGAAUUCCGCGUGUAGCAGUGAAAUGCGUAGAUAUGCGGAGGAACACCGAUGGCGAAGGCAAUCCCCUGGGCCUUCACUGACGCUCAUGCACGAAAGCGUGGGGAGCAAACAGG